UGCCAGCAGCCGCGGUAAUACGGAGGAUCCAAGCGUUAUCCGGAUUCAUUGGGUUUAAAGGGUCCGUAGGCGGAUUUUUAAGUCAGUGGUGAAAGCCGACAGCUCAACUGUCGAACUGCCAUUGAUACUGGAAAUCUUGAGUACAAAUGAAGUAGGCGGAAUGAGUCAUGUAGCGGUGAAAUGCAUAGAUAUGACUCAGAACACCGAUUGCGAAGGCAGCUUACUAACAUGUAACUGACGCUGAGGGACGAAAGCGUGGGGAGCGAACAGGAUUAGAUA
rnacentral:rRNA from 1 species